rfam:Salmo salar isolate Sally breed double haploid chromosome ssa27, whole genome shotgun sequence.
GCCGAAAUAGCUCAGUUGGGAGAGCGUUAGAGUGAAGAUCUAAAGGUCCCUGGUUCAUUCCCGGGUUUUGGCA